rnacentral:rRNA from 1 species
CCAGAUACGUGUAUCUGGGUUGAAGGUACUAUACGGAAUAAGCUACCGUACUAACUCCGAGCCAGCAGUACGCGGUAAUACGCAGGCUGCAUGCGUUAUCAGGAUUUAUAAAGAGUUAAGAGUCGGUAGGCGGACCUGUACGUCAGAGGUGAAAUCUCAUAGCUGAAUUAUGAGUCUGUCAUUGAUGCCGCAAGUCUUGAGUAAGUUAGAGGUAGCUGGAAUAAGUAGUGUAGCGGUGAAAUGCAUAGAUAUUACUUAGAUCGCCAAUGCAGAAGUCAGGUCACCAUGAUUUAACUGGCGCUGAGGGCCGAAAGCGUGGGGAGCGAACAGGAUCAGAUUCCUCCAUAGUGCACGCGGUAAACGAUGCUAACUCGUUCUUGGGGCUUCGUCUUCAGAGACCAAGCGAAAGUGAUAAGUUAGCCACCUGGGGAGUACGUUCGCAAGAAUGAAACUCAAAGGAAUUGACGGGGGCCCGCAACAAGCGGUGGAUUAUGGGUUUAAUUCGAUGAUACGCGAGGAACCUUCCCAAGGCUUAAAUGGCAAAAACAGGGGAAGACAUAGAUCCUUCUU